CGUCACGUCGUAGGAGCGCUGGCGGAGACUUCAGGCUAUGAUGGUUGGUAAGAGUACAUCCUGCUCAGAACCUACAUUAGAAAAGCCUUGGGUAAGUAAAUUUAUUUUCUGAACUCAUUUGUUUCUUACUCUUGUAUUUCUUAAGAAGUACAAACUACCCUGAACUUGAGUUGGCUUCUGCAGCUUCAAUCUCAACCCAACACUUGAAUGCUCUGUCCAUACUCAGCAUUAAUUUAGUACCAGUGCCUGUACAGGAACUCUGGAUCAGGAUCAGGGCUCCACAAUGACACACCCAUCUACCUCACAUUCCUUUCCAGAUGACAUGUCCAUUCAAGGCAAGGCUCUGCUAAUCUCUUUCAUUGGUGACAUCUCUUCUAGGUCAAUUAGACCACUUCUAUAAGAGAGUGUGGCAUCUCCUGAGUGUGUGCACAUCUCUUCUAAAUUUAAACAGUAUUUAUUACAGCUAGAGCUGCCCUUCA